rnacentral:rRNA from 1 species
GUGAACGCUGGCGGUAGGCCUAACACCUGCAAGUCGCACGGCAGCACAGUAAGAGCUUGCUCUUACGGGUGGCGAGUGGCGGACGGGUGAGGAAUACAUCGGAAUCUACUUUUUCGUGGGGGAUAACGUAGGGAAACUUACGCUAAUACCGCAUACGACCUACGGGUGAAAGCAGGGGAUCUUCGGACCUUGCGCGAUUGGAUGAGCCGAUGUCGGAUUAGCUAGUUGGCGGGGUAAAGGCCCACCAAGGCGACGAUCCGUAGCUGGUCUGAGAGGAUGAUCAGCCACACUGGAACUGAGACACGGUCCAGACUCCUACGGGAGGCAGCAGUGGGGAAUAUUGGACAAUGGGCGCAAGCCUGAUCCAGCCAUACCGCGUGGGUGAAGAAGGCCUUCGGGUUGUAAAGCCCUUUUGUUGGGAAAGAAAAGCAGCAGGUUAAUACCCCGCUGUUCUGACGGUACCCAAAGAAUAAGCACCGGCUAACUUCGUG